AUUGAACGCUGGCGGCAGGCCUAACACAUGCAAGUCGAGCGCGCGGCGGACGGGUGAGUAAUGUCUGGGAAACUGCCUGAGGGAGGGGGAUAACUACUGGAAAAGGUAGCUAAUACCGCAUACCAUCAGAAGUGCCCAGAUGGGCUUAGCGAGUAGGUUGGGUAACGGCUCACCUAGGCGACGAUCCCUAGAUGGACUGAGAGGAUGACCAGCCACACUGAAACUGAGACACGGCCCAGUCUACGACGGUAGGCAGCAGUGGGGAAUAGUGCACUAUGAGAGCAAGCCUAAUGCAGCCAUGCCGCGUGUGUUAAGAAGGCCUUCGGGUUGGAAAGCACAUUCAGCGUGGAAGCGUUACCCGCCGAAGAAGCACCGGCUAACUCCGUGCCAGCCGCCGCGGUAAUAC
rnacentral:rRNA from 1 species